CACACACACAUACACGCGCACACGCUCACAGAAGGAAGAAGGGCGCUAUCCUCGCAUCCUUCCCUCUACGCCCCUUUGUGCCAGAGAACGUUGGUGCGCAUCGGUGGGUAUCCACACGCCGCGCCACCACACACCUAGAGAUUCAUUGCGUAGAAGACCUCCGCCAUUGCGUCGCACCGUCUUCCUCACUUUUCCGCGUCUUUCCUCGACAUGAACACGAGACGAGCUCUCACGGGCACACAAGCACACUCACGCACGUCUUGAGACGCGAGCAGACCCUGGACAAGAGGGCUCAAGCACACACGGACGCAGAGAUCGCAGGGCACGAGGGCGCAUAGAGCGUGUAGGUGCCGUCGUGUGUUUUUUCUUGCUUGUUUGUUAGAGGAGAAGCGCACUCGUGCGUCGAUUUUACUCGUGUGUAAGUGCUGUUGCCGUUGUGUCGGUUUUCGGCUCUAAACUGCCUGGGACGGAGCUUGUUGUUCGUUUCGUGUGCCUCUCCCUCUCUGGCACCUCGUCAACUCACACGUAUCUCCCAGUGCACUCCCAGACCAUUACGCAACGGCGCGCACCCGCACAAGCCUCCGUAGUGAGUGCGCUCUAUGAAGGCGAAAUUGAGCGCAGUGCCGCGGAAGGCGCGGAAGAGCAUCUCUUUCAACGCGAACCGCAACAAGGUGCGCUUCAUUCGGGUCCCCCCGCGCUCGCAGAACGGCAAGUUCUGGUUUACGGAGACGCAGCGCAUUGUAAAGAAGGGGCUUAACUUUGAGGUGGAGCCGGAGAUCAUGAUCGAAGUCAACAUCGAGUGUAGGAUGCAGAUCACGGCGUUGGCCCGCAGGCCGCUGUCUCAGUUGGGCAAGUCGCCAGCAGCGAACGGCAUCGCCGGUGCCGCCGCCUCAUCGUCCGCGGCUUCGGCGGCAAAGCGUAGCUACGUCGAGGUGGAAGAGACGGUCCCACUCUUUCUGCCUGAUGCGCGGAAGCGUGAUCGGUGGCAGUGCAUCGGCUCCGUCGGUGCGGGGGAGAUGUCGAAAGUCAGGGUUGUGAUGCCGCCUGGCAGCUACCGCAUGCGGUGCAAUGGUGGGGACGUGGUGCAGAUCUUUGCACAGGCCUGGGACAUUGAGCGAGAGUUGAUUUAGGUGAGCGGUGGUGGUGGUGCCUGUGGUCGCGUUGACUGUCGAGGUUAUCGCGGUGGCGGUGUUGGUGGGCAGGAGCGACAGAUGGGUUUAACAAUUCUUGUCUAGGCGUCGCGUGCGAUUACCUGUCGAUGUGAGGAGUCGUUACUCCAGACAACGAAAAACAAGCAAAAAAGGCGAGAGGACAUAAACGACAAGCGGCGCGCCUGGCGUUGUGCGCUCACUGAGAAGAGGAAGGAUUGGGGGUAGGGGCUGGAGAGACAGAGAGUCCAUUCGUGUACCAAAAUCUGAGGCAAGCUCCCUCUCGCCCCUCCUCCUCCUCGCCCCUCCUCUUCCUCCUCCCCCCACCCCCACACUUACUUACUCACACACAAGCAAACAAGAAGGGCGCAUGAAAGCACGAAAAAGAAAAACAACAACUACACGGCAAGAAGAAUAAAGAGAAGGGAUCACAAAACUACACCUGUGCUGUGACACACACAUACACACAAUGGGGAGAUCAGCAAGCGAGUCAGGGGGCUUCAAGUGUCAACCGGC
rnacentral:misc_RNA from 1 species